rnacentral:lncRNA from 1 species
UAGCUGAGGAGGAUUCUGUGUUCCUGGAGGUGUUUCUUUGGGGAAGCUGGAGCAGGAACCUCCUGUGGGCAGCACUGGGAUGGGCAGGGGAGGAUGUGGAGAUCCUUGGAGGGGUCCCUGUAGGGCUGUGAGCUUUCCUGGGUUCUCCACAAAGUCCAGCCUGUUCUGGGGGUCUGGAAGGAGCCCCCAGCAUUUGGGAAGCUGUGGGGGUGUGCUGUGAGCUGACCCUUGGGUGAGGAGGGCGUUUAUGGGGCACCUUGUGUGGCAGCUGUUUCCCCAUUUGGGAUGUUGUGGGGUUGGGACAUUGCUCCAGCAUCACAUUCCCGUCACCCUCCAGCUCCUGGGGCUCUGCUGCUGCCUCCCCCCACUUUGGAGAGGCCAUUUCCCCCUCCUGACUGUGGGGAGGGUCUGGCUGUGCUGGGACAGGGGGGCUGUGGUGCAGAGGGUGGCCUGGAUGCUGUGGGACAAAUGGGAUGCACCCCUGGAGCUGCUCCUGCAGGAUCUGGCUCCUCGGGCUCCUGCUGCUGUCCCUGGUUAAUCCCAGCCUGGUUUGCUGAGUCCCAGGGGAGGGAGGCAGCAGCAGAGCAGGAGCUGCUGGUGCUGGAGGUCAGGAUGGAAAUCCCUUCCCCUGUUCAUGCUGCAGGAAGGACCCCAGAGCUUCCCCCAGAACAUCCCAAUGUCCACGAGGGAUGUGGGAUGGCUGACCCUGGUCUGGCAGCUGAGACUGCACCCCUGGGACAGCCACCACAGCAUCCAUCACCCCACCUUCAGCCCCACCUCUGCCUCUCUCCUGGGCACCCAGCGCCCUGCAGGAGCCAUCCACAGCAUCCAUCACCCCACCUUCAGCCCCAUCUCUGCCCCACUCCUGGGCACCCAGCGCCCUGCAGGACCCAUCCAUGCCACUCCCACCCCGCUGGCACCGGGGGUGUCACCAGGACAAACCCCCAAACUCUGCCCAGCACACCCAGGGGCCCUCCCCGCCACAAGUGGCAGGGGAUGCUGGUGUCCCCUGUGAUGUGGGACACCCUGUCAGCCCCUAAUCGCGACAUGAGA